CUCUUUGUAUGCUAACGUCUACAUGAACUUAAGGAACUGCUGUAAACACAUUUUUCAAAGAAAGAAUUCUACAUGUUUGCAGAGGAGAACAUCUACCAAGAAGUUUCUGAACUGAGGAGGUAGGUCAGUUCAGAGGAAGGGCUUCCCAGGCACUCGUUGAAUACUUUUCAAAACCCAGACAAGAUAUCAGUCUGCUGUCUGAAAAGCGGGGAAGCACCAGUGCAACAGCAGAAAGGAAAUCUGAAAUGAAAGGAAAUCCCUGGAGGUACAGUAGACUGACCCAGCAAGUAUUUGGACAUGUGUAUCCGAUGGUCCCUACCUUGCUCCAGGACUCCCAGGACUGUCACGGCAGCCAGCAGGAAUGAGUUAUGAGGAAGUGGGAAAACCCAGCAGCGAGUGAACAUGUGAGAGGUAAGAGAGGGGAAUUGGGAGCUGAAUGGGGGCACAAAACUCAACAGCCCAGCAAUCCACUCCCCCUGGGGCAUCUGGUUUAAAACCACUCCUAACGAAGGCCAAGGCACGUCCCUCUUGCUGAUGUUGCAUGAGGAACCACAGCCCCGCUUGGGCUGUUCUGCACCUCUUGAGCAUCAGGACAGGCAGCGUUUCGUGGCACGUAUCACUGCGUGCACAGGCUCUGGAAAGCACGCGUUGGGCACAGAGCACGACUUCUGGCCAUGACACUGAGACAGCGUCGAAUAAAGCCCCCAAGUAAAAAACCCACUGCAACGGUAAGACAGGUUGUGAUAAAGUAUAAAAGGUACAGAUCUGUCUUGCACAGUGAUAAUUUAUAUGGGGAUGGGACCUGCGGAAUGACUGUCAGACACCAAGAGGGUUUCAGAGCCUGCCCUCGUACUGGAAAGGCUGGGAGCUGUGCAUUUAAGGCUUCUGAUCAAUCCUCAGCCGAAUUAACUCUCAUCGUAAACACCAGAGAGAGUUCUGUGUGGGUAAAAACCUGCAGAAUUCAUCAGGAUAUAGCAAAAAGGAAAAUUAUAUUUUCACGUGUCAGGGUAGACCCACUCGGCUAAUUCCUGUCUAAGAGCACAA